rnacentral:rRNA from 1 species
UACGGGGGGAGCAAGCGUUGUUCGGAUUUACUGGGCGUAAAGGGCGCGUAGGCGGCCACGACAAGUCAGUUGUGAAAUCUCUGGGCUUAACUCAGAACGGUCAACUGAUACUGUCGGGCUAGAGUGCAGAAGGGGCAACUGGAAUUCUCGGUGUAGCGGUGAAAUGCGUAGAUAUCGUGAGGAAGACCAGUUGCGAAGGCGGAUCUCUGGGCAGUUCCUGACACUGAGGCACGAAGGCCAGGGGAGCAAACGGG